UACGUAGGGAGCGAGCGUUGUCCGGAUUCAUUGGGCGUAAAGAGCUCGUAGGCGGCUCGUUAAGUCGGAUGUGAAAGCCCCGGGCUCAACUCGGGAAGUGCAUUCGAAACUGGCGAGCUUGAAUAUGGAAGAGGGUCGCGGAAUUCCCGGUGUAGAGGUGAAAUUCGUAGAUAUUGGGAAGAACACCGGUGGCGAAGGCGGCUAUCUGGACUGUGAUUGACGCUGAGGCGCGAAAGCGUGGGGAGCAAACAGG
rnacentral:rRNA from 1 species